rnacentral:tRNA from 1 species
CGAGGUGCAGCUCAGUGGCAGAGCGCGUGCUUAGCAUGUGCUAGGUCCUGGGUUCGAUCCCCAGUACCUCCA